rnacentral:lncRNA from 1 species
AAAAAUGUGUGCAUAUAUUAAAUAUCUAUUAGAACGAAUUCAAUAUAGUACAAUUCUACCGUACAAAUUCACCAACAUAACUGCAAUACAGAUAUAUGAGCAUCCAUGAGUUAACGAAUGAAAUACUACUCUACCUUUUUUUUUUGCGGGUUGAAUGAAAUACUACUUGUCUAUACACGACCACUUUCACAAGCUAUACUUCAUAUAGAGAGAGGUAUCUUCGACCAAAUAAUUGUAUUUGAUAGAUAAUUAGGACAAACUGAUAUUUAUUCACAUGGUUCUUCUUCCGCGAGCACGAGCAGACCAUUCACCCCCUAGAAAAUGCCUUGCCUGAAAAGUCAAAUAACGAAAUUCUUAGAAUCGAUGCACGCGCGCCGUUGUUUUCGCGUCACAGUCAUGCCGAAACUAGUAGUACGAACUAUACAUAAACAUGCAGCAAGGAUUAUAUAAGCCCAUCGCCAUGAACAGCUAAAUAAGGUUCCGAAGAAAAACAGCUAAUUAAGCAUGAUCGAUCGACAGAUACAAGAGUUGAUUCCUAGCUAGGUUGGUUGACUCACCUGUUGGCCCUGUCGUUUUACCACCAGUACUUGCAUCAUCGGCUUUGUACGUCUGUCUUGAUUCGUGAGAGUUGCUGCCGUUGCUCGACGCAGAGGUCGUCGUCGUCGACAACGCUUUACCUGCUUUACGGAGCGCAGGAUUGCAAAAGGCGUCAAGAAAGUGUGCACGAAAGCAUCCGAGACCACAAACCGUCGAAUAGAAAUUAAGGUAUUACCAGAAAGGUGCAGGAUCUGAUAAAGGGAGAACCAUCCUAUCCAUGCAUGCACAUGCACGUAUCACGUAUGCUCAAGAGUUGAUCGGAUGAGUGACACUCACUAACCUGCACUAGGCGACGGCGCCGUUUGGCCUGCCUCCGCCGGAGCAUAUGGACGUCGAUCAUCAUACUGGCCGGAAGACCCUGGCAUUGGAGGCACAGAUCUACUUGGCCCUGCAUACAUAUGUAUUUAUGGAGAAUAUGUUAAUACUAUAUCAGAGUUGAUCAUUACUAGCUUACUCCGAUCGUGCGAUGGGCGAAUUGGAUAUCUGGAGGCGCUGGCUCACCCUUCCCCGACAUGCUCAGUCUUGGAAACCUUCGUGUCCGGGUGUUUUCGGCUAGCUGUGUCGUUUGAGUUAAUUUGGUGCUAACUGCUUUCAACAUUCGUGGGCUACCCCAUGGAGUAUAUAUACAAUGGAGAGACGGUAAAAUC